rnacentral:rRNA from 1 species
GACGAACGCUGGCGGCGCGCCUAACACAUGCAAGUCGAACGAGAGAGAGGAAGCUUGCUUCCUUAAUCGAGUGGCGAACGGGUGAGUAACGCGUGAGGAACCUGCCUCAAAGAGGGGGACAACAGUUGGAAACGACUGCUAAUACCGCAUAAGCCCACAGCUCGGCAUCGAGCAGAGGGAAAAGGAGUGAUCCGCUUUGAGAUGGCCUCGCGUCCGAUUAGCUGGUUGGUGAGGUAACGGCCCACCAAGGCAACGAUCGGUAGCCGGACUGAGAGGGUGAUCGGCCACACUGGGACUGAGACACGGCCCAG